UACGUAGGGUGCGAGCGUUGUCCGGAAUUACUGGGCGUAAAGAGCUCGUAGGUGGUUUGUCGCGUUGUUCGUGAAAACUCACAGCUUAACUGUGGGCGUGCGGGCGAUACGGGCAGACUAGAGUACUGCAGGGGAGACUGGAAUUCCUGGUGUAGCGGUGGAAUGCGCAGAUAUCAGGGAGGAACACCCGGUGGCGAAGGCGGGUCUCUGGGCAGUAACUGACGCUGGAGGAGCGAAAGCGUGGGGAGCGAACAGGAUUAGACUACCCGAG
rnacentral:rRNA from 1 species